GAGGGGACGGCUAUGGGGGGGGGGGUGAGCCCAUGGUCCUUCCACCCACACACACCCCGGCGGCGGCGGAGGAUCCCAGAGCGACGCCGUGGCCUGCCAUCCCGCCCAGCGUCGCUUCCCAACUGUGAGGGACGCCUGAGCAGUAACGCAAGGGAAGACAAGCGGCAAGUAAAGCGGCAAGCGGCUGGAAUUAGAAGAUUUUUAAAAAACUACACAGAGGUUCGCAGGUGGGGUGAGGGUGUUAACUCGUCAGGACAAGUUCUGCUGAGGCGAGAGGGUGGCAGGCAGCAGUGGAUGAAGUGCAGUCAUUCGGAGUUGUUGAAAAUCUUGCCUACCUUCAACAUUUUACCUUUCUGGAUUCCUAAGCACACAUGUCUCACAUGCUUUCAGGUAAGAUGAAGAUGCUCAUGUAAAUCUGCCCAGGAUAAUGGCCGGUAGCUGAAGAGAGAUAUAGGCACAAAUGGAAGAGGCAACAGAGCAAAACACCAGAAUUCUGAAGAAUGACAGACGGAAGUGAAUUUUGCAGCAGUUAGAGCAAGAUGAAUAUGGUACAGUUUCAAGGUCACACCUUAGAAAAAGGCAUCUCUUUUCAAAGAAAAGAGUUAUUGUUACAUAUUGCAAAGUUAUUGUUGCAUAUCUUCCUGCUCAAGAAAAUUAAACA